rnacentral:lncRNA from 1 species
GUAGUUUGGAAGAUAAGUGAUGUCCCAAGACGAAAACAGCCUUGAGAUGAAAAAAAUUAGAAUGACUUUAGGCAUUGGGCCUAAAAAUCAGUAAAUAUAAGACUUAUUAGUAAAUUUACAUAACACAACGCUUAGUACACACAUGCAAACCUGUAAGGUUAUCCAAAGGACAAUGAGGAAGAGAAGCCUUCGCCAAAAGACCACCAAAAGAAGACUGAAGAUCCCCAAACAACAAGUGAGGCAUGUGCCGUGAAGAAAAGUGAUGUAACGUCAGAAAAAUUGGAAAUAAGAAGAAACUUACAGGAAACAUUAAUGAAUAUGUAUAAGCAUACAGUAUAGAAAUUUAGCUUGAAGUGCUUUGUUUUGUAUGUAAGGUGGGGUGAUAAGCCUUCCCAGUACCCCGGUCAGUUUUGCUUAUGCUUUAAUCAUAAUUACUGGCAAAUUAUAUAUAUAAAUUAUAAUUUUUUACUAAAUUGUAUUCUUUUACUAAACUGUAUUUUUUUACACCAAAUUACUAUUCAAUUUAUUACAUUGUAUCUAUUUUUAAUUAAACUGCCAUUAACCCAAGGGACCUAGUUGUCAAAAUUCUAAUUUCAUUUAUAACAUUUUAUUUCCAGGUAAGUCAGUGCAGGAAAGUUCUGCUUCUUCAACAGGAUGUAGUGCUUGUUUUAUUUUACAUUAUUUUGGCUGAAGAGACAAAACGAAGAUGUGCCAUCAGUCUGAUCACUCUCCAGUUAUGUCAUCCCAGAUCUCUGUUAAAUCUCUAAACUCUCCAUAUGUGGACAAGACAUAUAUCCAUUUUAUUUGGAAUUUUCUUAAUCCUGUCAUUCCAGCAACCAUCCAACUGUAUCAGUGCAUGCAUCAAGACAUGGGGUCAAACUCCUGCAUCGAAAGGUGGAGUUUGGCCUAGUUUAGACAACAAAAAUGACCAGGAUCUUAUCCAUUAUAACAUCUUCAUGGCAGGCUGCAGAGGAUUUGCAGACCCCGAGUAGGAGGAGUCUGUACAGCAAAUACUUCUAGAAUAUUUCUUGUAUCUAAACUUACCUGUACUUUAGCUGCUGUUGCUAAUGUACCCCAUCUUUAUAAUAUAUAUAUAUGCACGGAAGUCAAUAAAGGGAUUUAGUAAAGCA